rnacentral:rRNA from 1 species
CCCUUAGAUGUUCUGGGCCGCACGCGUGCUACACUGAGUGGAUCAGCGGGUCAGGUUGCGCGAAAGUGUUUCCUAAUCUUGAAAUCCGCUCGUGAUGGGGAUUGACGGUUGCAAUUUUCCGUCAUGAACGAGGAAUACCUUGUAAGCGCGGGUCAUCAUCCCGCGCUGAUUACGUCCCUGCCCUUUGUACACACCGCCCGUCGCUCCUACCGAUUGAGUGGUCCGGUGAGGCUUUGGGAUCUGAGCGGAAAGAGCGUUUCGCUGUUUCUGCUCGGAAAACUCAGUCGAACCUUAUCAUUUAGAGGAAGGAGAAGUCGUAACA